rnacentral:rRNA from 1 species
AUUGAACGCUGGCGGCAGGCCUAACACAUGCAAGUCGAGCGAGCGGCGGACGGGUGAGGAAUGUCUGGGAAACUGCCUGUUGGAGGGGGAUAACUACUGGAAACGGUAGCUAAUACCGCAUACCAUCAGAUCUGCCCAGAUGGGAUUAGCUAGUAGGUGGGGGAACGGCUCACCAAGGCUACGAUCCCUAGCUGGUCUGAGAGGAUGACCAGCCACACUGGAACUGAGACACGGUCCAGACUCCUACGGGAGGCAGCAGUGGGGAAUAUUGGACAAUGGGCGAAAGCCUGAUGCAGCCAUGCCGCGUGUGUGAAGAAGGUCUUCGGGUUGUAAAGCACUUUCAGCGGGGAGGCGUUACCCGCAGAAGAAGCACCGGCUAACUCCGUGCCAGCAGCCGCGGUAAUUC